rnacentral:rRNA from 1 species
GACGAACGCUGGCGGCGUGCUUAACACAUGCAAGUCGAGCGGUAAGGCCCUUUCGGGGGUACACGAGCGGCGAACGGGUGAGUAACACGUGGGUGACCUGCCCUCAGCUCUGGGAUAAGCCUGGGAAACUGGGUCUAAUACUGGAUAUGACUCCACGGUGCAUGUCGUGGGGUGGAAAGCCUUGUGCGGCUGAGGAUGGGCCCGCGGCCUAUCAGCUUGUUGGUGGGGUGANGGCCCUACCAAGGCGACGACGGGUAGCCGGCCUGAGAGGGCGACCGGCCACACUGGGACUGAGACACGGCCCAGACUCCUACGGGAGGCAGCAGUGGGGAAUCUUGCGCAAUGGGCGAAAGCCUGACGCAGCGACGCCGCGUGAGGGAUGACGG